UACGUAGGGGGCAAGCGUUGUCCGGAAUCAUUGGGCGUAAAGGGCGUGCAGGCGGUCAGGUAAGUGGGAUGUGAAAUGCCCCGGCUCACCCGGGGACCGGCAUCUCAUACUGCUUGGCUUGAGUACGGGAGAGGAUGUGGGAAUUCCUGGUGUAGCGGUGAAAUGCGUAGAUAUCAGGAGGAACACCGGUGGCGAAGGCGCACAUCUGGCCCGAUACUGACGCUGAGGCGCGAAAGCUAGGGGAGCAAACGGG
rnacentral:rRNA from 1 species